rnacentral:rRNA from 1 species
UGCGUAGGCGGAAGAUUAAGUCAGUGAUGAAAUCCUGCAGCUCAACUGUAGAACUGUCAUUGAUACUGAUUUUCUUGAAUUCAGUUGAGGUAGGCGGAAUGUGUAAUGUAGCGGUGAAAUGCUUAGAUAUUACACAGAACACCAAUUGCGAAGGCAGCUUACUAAGCUGUGAUUGACGCUGAGGUACGAAAGCGUGGGGAGCGAACAGGAUUAGAUACCCUGGUAGUCC